rnacentral:rRNA from 1 species
UACGUAGGGUGCGAGCGUUAAUCGGAAUUACUGGGCGUAAAGCGUGCGUAGGCGGUUCGUUAAGUUCGUUGUGAAAGCCCCGGGCUCAACCUGGGAAUGGCAAUGGAAACUGGCGGGCUGGAGUAUGGCAGAGGGGGGUGGAAUUCCGCGUGUAGCAGUGAAAUGCGUAGAGAUGCGGAGGAACACCGAUGGCGAAGGCAGCCCCCUGGGCCAAUACUGACGCUCGAGGCACGAAAGCGUGGGGAGCAAACAGG